AGACGGAGGGGGCGAGCGUUGUUCGGAAUUACUGGGCGUAAAGCGCGCGUAGGCGGCGAACCAAGUCGAGGGUGAAAGCCCGGGGCUCAACCCCGGAACGGCCUUCGAAACUGGUUUGCUAGAGUCCGGGAGAGGAGAGUGGAAUUCCCAGUGUAGAGGUGAAAUUCGUAGAUAUUGGGAAGAACACCAGUGGCGAAGGCGGCUCUCUGGUCCGGUACUGACGCUGAGGUGCGAAAGCGUGGGUAGCAAACAGGAUUAGAAACCCCGGUAGUCC
rnacentral:rRNA from 1 species